rnacentral:rRNA from 1 species
GUCUAAGUAUAAGCAAUCUAUACUGUGAAACUGCGAAUGGCUCAUUAAAUCAGUUAUCGUUUAUUUGAUAGUACCUUACUACAUGGAUAACCGUGGUAAUUCUAGAGCUAAUACAUGCUAAAAACCUCGACUUCGGAAGGGGUGUAUUUAUUAGAUAAAAAACCAAUGCCCUUCGGGGCUCCUUGGUGAUUCAUAAUAACUCAACGAAUCGCAUGGCCUUGCGCCGGCGAUGGUUCAUUCAAAUUUCUGCCCUAUCAACUUUCGAUGGUAGGAUAGUGGCCUACCAUGGUAUCGACGGGUAACGGGGAAUUAGGGUUCUAUUCCGGAGAGGGAGCCUGAGAAACGGCUACCACAUCCAAGGAAGGCAGCAGGCGCGCAAAUUACCCAAUCCCAAUACGGGGAGGUAGUGACAAUAAAUACUGAUACAGGGCUCUUUUGGGUCUUGUAAUUGGAAUGAGUACAAUUUAAAUCCCUUAACGAGGAACAAUUGGAGGGCAGCU